UUCACAUGCUAAAUCUAGCUUAGCUGAAGAAGAAUUCAAAUCAUAUCGCACAUUCUCUCUGCAACAAAAAAUAUUUUAAAUAUCCGUCUGAUAUUUUCACAAUAAUAUCAUAAUACUGUUACUUCUUUUUAAAUACCUCACUGCAUAGAUAUUUCAUGAAAUAUGGAUACCACUACACAUUUCUAGUGUUGUUAACCAGUGAAUUCAAACACCA
rnacentral:lncRNA from 1 species